rnacentral:rRNA from 1 species
AAAUCCAUUGGGACGUUCCAGAAGGAUCAUUAACAUAAUAUUCUUACACACUGUUUUUUUACAACAAAACAAAUCUAUCUAAAAACAAUUCUUUACAAGAAAUUCUUAAAACUUUCAACAACGGAUCUCUUGGUUCUCGCAUCGAUGAAGAACGCAGCGAAAUGCGAUACGUAAUACGAAUCGCAGCUCUCGGAAUCAUCGAAUCUUUGAACGCACAUUGCACCAUUGGGUAUUCCCAAUGGUAUGCUUGUUUGAGCGAAUACUUCCCUAAUCCUCACGGAUUGUAUUGUGUUUGCACGAAAAUAAUGACGACAGUACUCUACAAAACGGUACCGUCAGUACACUCAUUUUUUUUCCUCAAAUCAAGUAGGACUACCCGCUGAACUUAAGCUUAAGAGGGGAGGAAAGAGAAAA